rnacentral:rRNA from 1 species
UACAGAGGUGCCAAGCGUUAGGCGGAAUCACUGGGCUUAAAGCGCGCGUAGGCGGAUGUUUAAGUGUCUUGUGAAAUCCCACGGCUCAACCGUGGAACUGCUGGGCAUACUGGACAUCUCGAGGCACUCAGGGGCGAGCGGAACAAGUGGUGGAGCGGUGAAAUGCGUAGAUAUCACUUGGAACGCCAAUGGUGAAGACAGCUCGCUGGGGGUGUCCUGACGCUGAGGCGCGAAAGCCAGGGGAGCGAACGGGAUUAGAUACCCCGGUAGUCCUGGCCCUAAACGAUGUCCACUAGAUCAUGGCGGCUCUGACGCCGUCAUGGUCGGAGCAAAAGUGUUAAGUGGACCGCCUGGGAAGUACGGUCGCAAGGCUAAA